AUCUCCUAUAUGACUGAGUGGCGGACGGGUGAGUAACGCGUGGGGAACCUGCCCUAUACAGGGGGAUAACAGCUGGAAACAGCUGCUAAUACCGCAUAAGCGCACAGAAUCGCAUGAUUCAGUGUGAAAAGCCCUGGCAGUAUAGGAUGGUCCCGCGUCUUGAUUAGCUGGUUGGUGAGGUAACGGCUCACCAAGGCGACGAUCAGUAGCCGGCUUGAGAGAGUGAACGGCCACAUUGGGACUGAGACACGGCCCAAACUCCUACGGGAGGCAGCAGUGGGGAAUAUUGCACAAUGGGGGAAACCCUGAUGCAGCGACGCCGCGUGAGUGAAGAAGUAUUUCGGUAUGUAAAGCUCUAUCAGCAGGGAAGAAAACAGACGGUACCUGACUAAGAAGCCCCGGCUAACUACGUGCCAGCAGCCGCGGUAAUACGUAGGGGGCAAGCGUUAUCCGGAAUUACUGGGUGUAAAGGGUGCGUAGGUGGCAUGGUAAGUCAGAAGUGAAAGCCCGGGGCUUAACCCCGGGACUGCUUUUGAAACUGUCAUGCUGGAGUGCAGGAGAGGUAAGCGGAAUUCCUAGUGUAGCGGUGAAAUGCGUAGAUAUUAGGAGGAACACCAGUGGCGAAGGCGGCUUACUGGACUGUCACUGA
rnacentral:rRNA from 1 species